rnacentral:rRNA from 1 species
GUCUGGGAAACUGCCUGAUGGAGGGGGAUAACUCCUGGAAACGGUAGCUAAUACCGCAUAACGUCGCAAGACCAAAGAGGGGGACCUUCGGGCCUCUUGCCAUCGGAUGUGCCCAGAUGGGAUUAGCUUGUUGGUGGGGUAACGGCUCACCAAGGCGACGAUCCCUAGCUGGUCUGAGACGAUGACCAGCCUCACUGGAACUGAGACACGGUCCAGACUCCUACGGGAGGCAGCAAU